UUGACCCUACGGGACGCAGCAGUGGGGAAUAUUGCACAAUGGGGGAAACCCUGAUGCAGCGACGCCGCGUGAGUGAAGAAGUAUUUCGGUAUGUAAAGCUCUAUCAGCAGGGAAGAAGAAAGACGGUACCUGACUAAGAAGCCCCGGCUAACUACGUGCCAGCAGCCGCGGUAAUACGUAGGGGGCAAGCGUUAUCCGGAUUUACUGGGUGUAAAGGGAGCGUAGACGGAGAAGCGAGUCUGAAGUGAAAGCCCGUGGCUUAACCACGGGACUGCUUUGGAAACUGUUUGACUAGAGGGCUGGAG
rnacentral:rRNA from 1 species